AGUGAACGCUGGCGGUAGGCCUGACACAUGCAAGUCGAACGGCAGCACAGUAAGAGCUUGCUCUUACGGGUGGCGAGUGGCGGACGGGUGAGGAAUACAUCGGAAUCUAUUUUUUCGUGGGGGAUAACGUAGGGAAACUUACGCUAAUACCGCAUACGACCUACGGGUGAAAGCAGGGGAUCUUCGGACCUUGCGCGAUUGAAUGAGCCGAUGUCGGAUUAGCUAGUUGGCGGGGUAAAGGCCCACCAAGGCGACGAUCCGUAGCUGGUCUGAGAGGAUGAUCAGCCACACUGGAACUGAGACACGGUCCAGACUCCUACGGGAGGCAGCAGUGGGGAAUAUUGGACAAUGGGCGCAAGCCUGAUCCAGCCAUACCGCGUGGGUGAAGAAGGCCUUCGGGUUGUAAAGCCCUUUUGUUGGGAAAGAAAAGCAGCAGGUUAAUACCCCGCUGUUCUGACGGUACCCAAAGAAUAAGCACCGGCUAACUUCGUG
rnacentral:rRNA from 1 species